rnacentral:lncRNA from 1 species
AAAAUGCUGCAGUGUUGGAGACAGUUAAUUAUAUCUCCCAUGUAUUGCUUCCAUCAACGUUAGCUUGUGUCCAUUAGACGCCCUCCAAUAAUGUAAUGACUGCUGAUCAGGCAUAUAUUGCUGCAAACUUGGAUGACAUCAGAAGAUUUAUCAUCAAUGGACAAAGGUACGAGUAAGUUUCUAUUCCAUUUUGUAUUUUAGUUCUUGUGGUGUCCUAAAUGAGACUUAAAGUUUCAAAUUUAAUGUUUAAAACAUCUCAACUGAGCCAACAAGUCUAAAUCAUUUCUAAUUCUUUUCAAAUUUUGUACAUAGAUUUGUCAAGUUAUUUCCAUCCAAGAAGAAAUUUCAUCAUCAGAAGAAGAAGAGGAGGAG